rnacentral:rRNA from 1 species
GACGGGUAGCGGGCGUGAGAGCGUGACCCGACGCAUCGGGACUGAGACACUGCCCGGACUCCUACGGGAGGCUGCAGUAACGAAUAUUCCGCAAUGCGCGAAAGCGUGACGGAGCAAUGCCGCGUGAACGGAUGAAGCCCCUCAGGAGUUGUAACUUCUGUCAGGGAAUAGGAACAAAAUGACCGUUCCCAAAGGACGGGCCCGGCUAACUUCGUGGCCAGCAGCCGCGGUUAUACGAAGGUGCCGAGCGUUGCGCGGAAAUCACUGGGCUUACAGGGGUAGCGUAGGCGGAAACUUGUAAGUACUAUGUGAAAUCCCUCGGGAUCAACCGGGGAAUUGCUUGGUAAUACUGCGGAUCUUAGAGGGCCAGUAGGGGCAACCGGAACUCUAGGUGGAGCGGUGAAUUGCAUAGAUAUCUAGAGGAAAGACAAAGGGUGAAGACAGGCUGCUGGGGCUUGGACCUGACGCUGGAGGCACGAAAGCUUGGGGAGCAAACAAGGAUUAGAUACCCUUGGUAGUCCACCGCCGUAAACGUUUGUUGCACUAGGUUCCCGGAGGUUUUGAACGCCAUCGGGGGCUGGGAGCAAAAAAGUAUUAAAGUGCACCGCCUGGGGGAGUACGGUCGCAAGGCUAAAACUCAAAGGAAUUGACGGGGGCUCACACAAGCGGUGGAGCAUGUGGCUUAAUUCGAAGCAACGCGAAGAACCUUAUCCUGGGUUUGACAUGUAUGGAUUAACCUCGUGAAAGCGAGGCCCACGCCCUUUGGGUGGAACAUACACAGGUGCUGCAUGGCUGUCGUCAGCUCGUGCCGUGAGGUGUUAGGUUAAGUCCUUCAACGAGCGAAACCCUUGCCGUUAGUUGCCAGCGCGCCUUCGGGUGGCCGGGGACUCUAGCGGGACUGCCGGUGUCAAACCGGAGGAAGGUGGGGAUGACGUCAAGUCCUCAUGGCCUUUAUGCCCAGGGCUGCACACGUGCUACAAUGGCGCGCACAGAGCGAAGCGAUGCCGCGAGGCGGAGCAAAUCGCAAAAANCGCGCCCCAGUUCAGAUUGUAGUCUGCAACUCGACUACAUGAAGGCGGAAUCGCUAGUAAUCGCGUAUCAGCAAUGACGCG